CUUUACCUGUAAUGUCCACUUCUGAAGCCACAACAUACACUACAACUGGUAAGUUCCUGAUAAAACAUUUUCAGGUUAUUACAUUAUUCUUAAAUUAGAAAAACAAUUCCCUUCUGAAAAAUGAUUCCCAUUGCCAUUUUUAUUUUAAUAUUUGUAAAACUAAAACAAACCUUAAAAUGUCCUCCUCUCAUGAUCAUAUCAUGCUGCAUAUUAAUAAAAUAAUAAUAAGAAUAAACAACUACACAUAAUGCAUCGGAUUUUGUGCAAUUAAAUGUAUUCCCUUAAUUUAAUAUAAACUGUAAUAUAAAAUGGAUUAAAUUAUUUUUUUCUUUUGAUAGAUCCAUUGCUUUAUUUCUGUCUGGACUCAUAGGAUUCAUCUGUCUGUACCGCUUGACCAGUUCUGCUGAUGUUCUCACAGAACUGAACUUGACCUCCUGCCAGAUGGAAACAACAUCUCUUUUAACUUCCUCUGUGUGCUCCUCAAAACAUGAAUGACCUGUUUAUGUUCUUCACUGCAUAUUAAAUCUAAUUUCUAUAGCCUAGUUUUUACUGCAUAUUAAAUCUAAUUUCUAUAGCCUAGUUUUUACACUUUUUUUAAUCAGCUAGUUUAAUAUACACGCACAUGCAAGUUCUAACAAAAAAGUUUAUAUUUUCACUGCAAUUGUUAUAGUCUGUCAAACAGUUGUCUGACCAAUAAACAAAUUAAUCAUUUGUGUGCUUUUAUAAUUUCCAUAUUAUUAAAUUUGAUAUCAUAAUCUAAUCUAUGUUCAAGUCUAAUAGUAGUAUUUUUGGCAUAUUUAAAUGUUACUUUUUAAAAAUUACCUUCUGUCUUCAGUAUAUGAGUUUGAGCACAAAAUGUGCCCCAGAUCUGCCUUCUGUUAACAUGAAUUUGAGUUGUACAUGUGAUCACAUGAUCUACAUUUAUAGAACUGACUGCACAAUGGAUAAAAAUGGUUUUCUGUGGUCUGAUGCCCUACUUCCUAAUUCCUCAAUUGUAUGUGUCGUUGCUUUUCUGACAUUCGCUGUAAUGGAGUUGAUCGUUUUCAUAGUGAUUCAGCUCCUGAUGGAGGUUCAGUCCUACACAUCUCCUAGUGUAAAAGUAUCUCCAGAUGUCAUAAGAGAGUCCAGCUCAGUGAAGAUCAGCUGUGAGACACCAGCAGAUGUUCCUGUGAAUCAGUGUUACUUCUACAUAAACAGUGAGGAGAAGAAUGUAAAACCCAGUUGGAGAUGUGAGCUGGAUCUCACUGGUGCUGAAGUGUUCAGAUGGGCAGCUAUAAAAUCACCUGGAUCACUCAACAUUAUCUGUUACUACACAAUACAGGGGAUUGAUAAAACAUUCAAUCAUUCUCCUCCUGCCACAGUGACGGUUCGAGCUUUACCUGUAAUGUCCACUUCUGAAGCCACAACAUACACUACAACUGUUACCAUUACAAACUCCACUUUGCCUGGGGACAUUAGAAUAUCAGAACAUAUUUCAACAGAAACAUCCACUCAAAAAGAUUCGCAAAUAGACACAUCAACAAUGGCUGUCACUUUCACAACAGCAUCACCCAGAACAGUGACCUCUACUGGAGAAGCUUUGGCAACAACCACACAAACUGUUUCAACAGAAACAUCCACUCAGAAAGAUUCGCAAAUAGACACAUUUUCAGCAACAAUAGCUGUCACUUUCACAACAGCAUCACCCAGAACAGGCACAUGGUUUAUAGUGCUGGUUUCCAUUGGUGUUGCUGUAUUCUUGUCUGGACUCACGGGACUCAUCUGUCUGUGCUGGUUUGCAAGUAAGUUUAGAAAUGUACAUUCUUUGGGCCUCAUUCAUCAAUCUUUCAUAAACAUAUAAGUACAUUCAGAGUAAUUGGUGUGUAAAAAAAUCAUCCUUCGGAUUCACAAACGUGUGUAUCUAAAUAAAUUUGAAUCAUUUGUAAAUGGUGUGCA
ensembl:lncRNA